CUGAUGCAGCCAUCGUCUCCCACAGAAUCACCGACCGGGCCACAAGUGGGCACUAUUUAUAGCAAGCAGUACCCAAAUGUACGCAAACAGGGCAAGUGGAGUUCAUACUGAAAAGUUUUAUUUUGGCCUCACCUGACCACAUGACCUCCUCUGGAUUAUCCAAAUGGUCAUUGGGAGACGUCAGACAGUAGCCUCUUGCGACCGGGUUUCCUUCGUUGUGACCCUCCUUAAGGUUGAUCCGCUUCCUCUACCUCUGUUGGGCCACAUGUGAGGUCGAC